UGAACUGGAAGGAUCAUGUCUAUGAGUUAUGCAAAAAAAUAUCCAAAGGUAUUGGCAUAUUAUUUAAACUUCGUGAUUUUGUUUCAAUUGAUAUACUCAUUCAAGUUUAUUACUCAGUAAUCUACCCAUUUCUUAUGUACGCUGUCUUGGUAUGGGGACAUACAUACAAAAGUAACUUGCACCCAUUAUUGAUCCUGAAAAAGAAGGC